GAUGAAGAACGUAGCGAAAUGCGAUAAGUAGUGUGAAUUGCAGAAUUCAGUGAAUCAUCGAAUCUAUGAACGCACAUUGCGCCCCUUGGUAUUCCAUGGGGCAUGCCUGUUCGAGCGUCAUUUGUACCCUCAAGCUUUGCUUGGUGUUGGGUGUUUGUCCCGCGUUGCGCGUGGACUCGCCUUAAAGCGAUUGGCAGCCGGCAUAUUGGCCUUGGAGCGCAGCACAUUUUGCGCUUCUAGUCAUGAAUGUUGGCGUCCAUUAAGCCUAUACAUUUGCUCUUGACCUCGGAUCAGGUAGGGAUACCCGCUGAACUUAAGCAUAUCAAUAAGCGGAGGA
rnacentral:misc_RNA from 1 species